UCUAGUGGCGCACGGGUGCGUAACGCGUGGGAAUCUGCCCUUAGGUACGGAAUAACUCAGAGAAAUUUGUGCUAAUACCGUAUGAUGUCGAAAGACCAAAGAUUUAUCGCCUAAGGAUGAGCCCGCGUAAGAUUAGCUUGUUGGUGAGGUAAAAGCUCACCAAGGCGACGAUCUUUAGCUGGUCUGAGAGGAUGAUCAGCCACACUGGGACUGAGACACGGCCCAGACUCCUACGGGAGGCAGCAGUGGGGAAUAUUGGACAAUGGGCGAAAGCCUGAUCCAGCAAUGCCGCGUGAGUGAUGAAGGCCUUAGGGUUGUAAAGCUCUUUUACCCAGGGAUGAUAAUGACAGUACCUGGAG
rnacentral:rRNA from 1 species